CCUUAAGGCCCCGGUUCAUCGAAGCGCAUGCUGAACCACAGGUAGUUACACCUCUGGUUAUACUCGAAAAAACGUGCUGAGAACGUAAUGUUAAUUAUAAGAUUAUGUGAUAUUUAUAGAGGUUUGUUGGAAAUUCAGAUCAAGACACUAACGUGACAAACAUAUUCCCUGACCCUGUCUACGCCCAAUUCGUCCGUAUUCAUCCAGUUGACUGGCAUGGCUAUAUAAGUUUACGAUUUGAGGUUCUUGGAUGCUCAGCAGGUCUAAUGAGCUCAGAGUUGGGUGGACGCUCCACUUAUUACAAGUCUUUUCGUCGCAAUCCACAAUGUUCUGUAACGACCAAAAACUCGAAAAGAAGUUGCAUUAGAUGCGCUGUGAAAUGCAUGAGGGCGCUAGGAUGCAAGUAUUUCAAAUACGAUGGAGAAUGCCACAUUUAUACCUGCAGUAACAAUGACUAUUUUGUUGCCUUUCAGUAUAAUGGUUAAAAUUGGCCUUUCCCUCGGAUAUUGUUGCUAGGAUGUGAAAGAUUUAAACGUACGCGUGUUCAUGGAUAUACGUAUAUCUGCCUUGUCCUUAUUAGUCAGUCGCUAACUUUGAUCAUUCCAGAAAUGUUUAUUAAAUUUCUUAGAUCAAUGCAUGCUUUGUAUUUGUUGCAAUAAUCUUCAUUCUUCAAAAACCGAUGAAGUCUUGACUAAAUGAAGCUGUGUGUGUAGUAAUUUUAGUACAAAUUCGUUCAUUAUUUUUAUUGGAACUCAUAAAGUGGUUCGUGUUUGUAAUUUGUACUGGAUGAUUUUGGUAUUAAGCAAAAGUAUAGGACCUUCUUAGUCAGAGCUAACGCUUUAUGUAGGACAUCUUCAAAGUGUUCCGCAGAAAUUAAAUGUUUAGGACAUAAUUAUUGCGUAAACGGUUCCUCUAUGACUAUAUAAAUUACUUUAGUGAGGCUCUAUCAGAAAUACUUAGUCAUAAUUACCUUUGGGUCAUUAAAAAAGAACUACUAAUAUUUAUUUAAUGUUGGAGCCUGUAACUUUAUUCAAUAACAUCCCUUCAUGCUAUGUAGACUGGAUAAAAUAUAUACACAAUUUUGUGAGCAGAUUUUGUGCUGGAAACUGUAUAAUCAAAUCUAUUGUUCACUGUGCUCUUCCUCCCUCACUAAUUGGCGAUGGUGUAAACUAAUUUAUUUGUACUGUAAUUUAAAAUUUUCUUGUUAAUUGUGGGGAAUAUAAAGUAUACAUAUGCUUUCUUCUAUUAAUUUAUAGGUCUACUUUUUUUUAUAUAAUGCUAUUUAUAUAUGCAUUAAAGCGAUAAAUGGAUAAUUUUAAUCUUAGUAAUAUGUAUUUUAUUCAACAUACUAACGGUUUGAAUGAAUGUAUUUUAAUGUAGAUUUAAUUGAAGUAUUUUGUAAAUUGAAAAUUUGAUUUUGUUUAAUAUAAUCGUGAAAAUAGAAUUAUUUUGCAAAACAUAACACAUCAUAGAUUAGAAUGCUAUGCUCCAGCACUUAAAUAUUGUGGCUAAGGUUCAACUAAACGACAACGUGAAACAUGCAAAAACACGUGCGUUUAUUGGACAACGUCGUGUUUGUAAGCACGUUCGUAUUCCUGGCCCUAAUUGGUCAGUUGGUAAGAUUGGGUGACAUUCCGGAAAUGUCCAAAGUGUAAACAAUAGAAUAUAAUGUUGGUGUAGGUAUACUUGGUGAAGAGCAAGUAGGAUUUAAGGACAUUUACUCCACUAAUGAUAAAGUGUUUGUACUCCGUUCCAUACUUGAAUUAUAAUAUAUAUAAUAUAAAAAAAACAUAAGCGGUUGUAUUGCACUUUUAUCGAUUACAACUUAGUGUUUGACCUGGUUGACCGAUUAUCUCUAUAGAGUAAACUAAUAUUAUGUGGUAUAAAUGGUAAAGUCAUUCAUGUCUUUUAUAAUUUGUCUGCUAACACGAAGUUAUGUGUCAAACAGAUUGGUGUGAUAUCCGAAUUUUUUCAUGUAAUGUUGGAGUGCACCGAGGAAAAAUUUAUCUCCGCUUUUAUUUGCUAUUUAUCUUAAUGACUUCGAAUUUUUUUGUUAGUCGUUAUUAUAAAAGUUUGGAUCACUUAGCUAAUGAAUUAAAUAAUGUCUUAAGUGAUGAUGAUGUAGAAGAGUUCCUCAGACUAUAUGUGCUAUUGUAUGCAGAUCAUACAAUUAUUAUUGUCCGAAAGUCACUCAGAACUCUAGAAAGUAUUAAGUAUGAUUACUGCGACAUGUGGAAGCUCACAGUCAAUACGAGUUAAACAAGGAUUAUAAUUUUUUCAAGGGUUCCAUGGUAGGGUUCAAAAUACUCCAAUUUUUAUGUUUGGAGAUAAAAAAAAAAAUAGAAAUUAUAGAUGAUUAUGUCUAUUUAGGUACAACAUUUAAUUUUAAUGGAAAAUUUUAAAAAGCCAUUGAUAAACAAGUAACACAGGCAAUGUACAGCGUGAUAACUCAAUAUACAAUUAAGUCUACCGUUAAGCAUUCAGUGUGAACUGUUUGACCAUAGAGAAAAAAGAACAGUUCUAUUUUCUCUAUGGUUUGACCAGCUUGUUUUGCCUAUAAUUAGUAUAUGGUUUUGAAGUCUGGGGAUUUAAAAAACUAGAUCAGAUCGAGGCUUUUUACACGACCAGGGUUUAUAAAUGUCAUAAUGGAUUGUAAAAUAAAAGACACUCUAUGACUAUGAUAACUUUGAUAACUUCAAUAAAAAGUUGAUAGCAAAUAGUAGGCAUAUUAAUCUCCGAUUUAGUGAUAUCUCAAAACAGGAAUGGCUGCACGAAGUUAACACAAAUAGAAAGUGUGAAAAUCAUAGAUCCUUUUAAGUGUGAUCUCGAAUCUGAUCUUUGUAGGUGUGAUGAUCAAGCUACAAAUUGUACUCUGUGUAAUCAAAAUAAUACCGGAAAUAAUUCCAUUAUUUAUUUGUUUGCCCUACACUAAUUAAGAAUGUAUUUAAAAAUAUCAUUACGCUAGAUACAGUGCACUAAUUAUUUAAUACCAGAUCAAAAAACAGCUCUCAAAACUUGCUCAAUUUAAUCACAAGAUAUCGUGUUUGUUUGUCUAUAAUAAUUAUUGUUUUUACUUAGCUUUAUUAUUGUUAUUGUUAACUUUAUUAGUCAUGCAGUGUAAGCUGACCGCUUAUUUUGUAUGUUCGCACGAGAAAUAAUGUUCUCUCAUACCCCGAAAGGGGUCGAAUAAGAAAUAAAGUUGUUGUGAUUUGUCAUUGA